CACCGCGCUUGUUGCCGACCAGGAAGCUAUCGAAGUCAAGUGGGUUGCGUGUGUCCACCUCCUCGCCCGCGUUUCGGAAGAAGGCGUCAAUGGGUCCGCUCUGCAGGCCGCCGCCCACGGGCCGGCUGCCAGUAGAGCCAACCGGCUCGGGCGCCUUGAAGAAGGCAUCGACUGUGAACGGAAAGCGGAGCGCAGACGUGGUGAGCAGGGAGGAAGGGAGCGCUAGGAAGGAAGGCAUGAAGCGCGAUACGGGGAUCGCGCGGGUGGUGCUUGCAGGCAGCCGGGGACCGCUGCUCAAGUAGCAGGUGGUUUCCCAGUGCGUGCACGUCACUCCUACAGGCACUCCAUCCGGGCACUCACUGUCCGUGCGCUCGUCCUCUGCUUUCCGGCCGCGGGAGUAUAGGUACCACGCCACUGGCACACCAGCCGCCAGCGCCCAGCGCCAGUACGCGCUGGACGUCUUGGCGGG
rnacentral:lncRNA from 1 species